GGGCGGGUAGCUCAGCUGGUUAGAGCGCUUCUCUUACACAGAAGAGGUCGCAGGUUCGAGUCCUGUCCUGCCCA
rnacentral:tRNA from 3 species